GUUCGUCUGUUCGAGUUCGACUGUUCCUCUCGCGACUAGGCGACUCCAGACUCCUAACGGCGACUCUUUGAAACUCCCUCAAGGCGUCCGGCAAGGCUAGGCACAUGUACAUGCUACCAGGUAAAUUCAAAUCCGGCCAAUCCAAAGUUGUCAAUUUUGCCAGUUGCCACUCGUACUGAACUACUGAUGAACACCAUACUCAUUUAAUUAGUUAGGGUUUUGUAUUUUUUUCAGAAAGAUAAUAUAAUCAAAAUUCAAAAGGCAGACCCAAGUAGGGAUUUUUACCUUCCAGAUUCAGCAAACCUCUCAAGUCUUAACUUCUUGUGUAUGCUUUGUUCCAGCAAAAUGACA
rnacentral:lncRNA from 1 species